rnacentral:rRNA from 1 species
UACGAAGGGGGCUAGCGUUGCUCGGAAUUACUGGGCGUAAAGCGCACGUAGGCGGCUUCUUAAGUCGGUGGUGAAAUCCUGGAGCUCAACUCCAGAACUGCCUUCGAUACUGGGAAGCUCGAGUCCGGGAGAGGUGAGUGGAACUGCGAGUGUAGAGGUGAAAUUCGUAGAUAUUCGGAAGAACACCAGUGGCGAAGGCGGCUCACUGGACUGGUAUUGACGCUGAGGUGCGAAAGCGUGGGGAGCAAACAGGG